rnacentral:rRNA from 1 species
CACGUAGGGGGCGAGCGUUGUCCGGAAUUAUUGGGCGUAAAGAGCUCGUAGGCGGUUUGUUGCGUCGGCUGUGAAAUCCCGAGGCUCAACCUCGGGUCUGCAGUCGAUACGAGCAAACUAGAGUGUUGCAGGGGAGACUGGAAUUCCUGGUGUAGCGGUGAAAUGCGCAGAUAUCAGGAGGAACACCGGUGGCGAAGGCGGGUCUCUGGGCAACAACUGACGCUGAGGAGCGAAAGCGUGGGGAGCGAACAGG